CUAUGGUCAAAUUAUCAUUUUCAAUAUUGCUGUGGACAAAUCGUGAUAAUAAUUCUGCAGCUUUUAAUGCCUCUUCCGCGGUAGGUAAUGGGGCUUCCUCGACUUCCUCUUCCUCUUCCUCUUCCCCAUCACUUUCGAAUUUUUCCAGAGCACUAAUGUUCUGUACGAUAUUUUCAUCGGUGGGUUCUUCGGCUGGGGGAAUUAACGAACAUUAUUGAAGGUAAAGAAUCGUGCCGGUCAUUAUAACCGGACAUAAUUUAUUAAAAAUGGGUCAUAUAAAGCGGCAUGUCACUGUAAGGGAAGUCAUUAUAUCCGACUUUUUUAUAAAGAAUUUUAUAUGAAAACCAAACUUCGUCAUGCAAUUACGUUAUAAUAACCGGUUGGUCAAUAUAGGCGGAGUCAUAAUAAACGGAUUCUUCUGUA